GCCUGUGUUCUAUCCUUUUAAAAACCUUGCGGUAAGGCAUGGUUCCUGACAUCAGAAAAAUGAAUGAAGUAUUGGCUACUGGACGUUAAGCAACCAAAUAUCAAUCCUCACCUUUCCGUGAAGUGUUUACAAUUAUUUGUAUUUUUAAAAUUAAAAGGAUAAAAAUUUCCCAAACUGAAAAGAGUUGAACAGACGCUAUUACCUUAGAAGUAAAAAUUAUACCAGACAGAAUAAACACGGCAGAAACAAAAAAACGAAAAAAAUAAAAGAACAAUUUGAAAUACCAUAUACAUGUUAAAAUUGGUAUAUACAAGCGGAUUAUAAACGGGUCAGGGUUGAGCGAACAUGAAUUUCUACCGAUUACACUAAAGGUGACAAUCAAC
rnacentral:lncRNA from 1 species